rnacentral:lncRNA from 1 species
AGGCAGGCUGCAGACUGGGAGGGUGGGAGUGAGCAUGCAGCUGACCCCACCAUGAGGCACAGGGCGUCGCCUUCUCCCCUCAGCACAGAGGAGAGGUGACGAAUGCCACUUGGUCUCUGCAGCGUCUGUAGAGGGAAGUCUGUAAGCGGGAGUGUCAACCCCAAUUGGCAGAUUCUCUGACACUUCAAGUCUGCAAAGGAAAAGCAGCCAGAUCUGCCAGUGAGCCUCAGGCUUUAGGAACUGAAGAGGGAUGAUACUGUGAAGUGUUCAGGAAUGAAGUCUCGUGAUGUCUGCUACCUAGUUUCAAAUGGCAGGAGAGACAGAGGGAUGGGGAAGCAAAAGUGACCAUUGUUAACUCUAGGUGGUUGGUAAGUGGGUGUUCCUUGUUUUAUUCUUUCACCUGUAAUGUAUGUUUAUGUUUUUUAAAAGUUAAUAAGUUGGAGGAUGAUAGAAGCAUUAAAAAGUAGGCCGGGUAUGGUGGCUCAUGCCUGUAAUACCAACACUUUGGGAAACUGAGGCAGUAAGCUCCCUUGGGGCCAGGAGUUUGAGACCAGCACAGGAAACAUGGCAAGACCU